rnacentral:sRNA from 22 species
ACCGCGCCUAGCUCGACGGGGCGAAAGCGGAGCACCCUACUCCGUUGGCGCGGCUCCCGCCAAGGGU